GAUGGGCGGUGAUGCAAAAUAAACAAAUUAAUAAAUUCCAAUUUGAUGGGAAUCAUCGGGGAAGGCUCACAAACAGUGUUGUUGAUGAGCGAAGUGGUCAUAAACAUCGAAGUUGCGCGCCUCCUUCCCUCUUUUGGUGGGUGAGUUCGGGUGGAAUGGACACAUUUUGGCACAACUUUGUUUAAUCCCGGCGGUGGGGCGAGAGUUGGGUUGUGUGUGCUGAAAAGAAAUGUAAACGCUUAAAAGAAAAGAACUCGCCUUUUGGUUGUGACGACGACCCCUUAUUUUGCCAUUUUCAAUUCAGGGCAGACAAAUGCCACUCGGCCCCCACUCCCCCAAAGCACGGUGAGGGUCUCUGGGUCUGGUCUGGUGCUGCGUUUUGCGUCGAUGAUGAAACACGACGUUCUUUGUUUGCUGCGGCCGUGGAAUUUAUGCAUUCGUAAACAGAUCGUAAAACCUUGCCCUGCUCUCUCGCCGGUUCGGUUUGUGUUUUUCUCCGGCAGCAUUGUGACGUUGCUGCAGACUCCUCCUUUGCCCGGCUUUUUUUUUCGGGAACUUUCCCGGGAAGGAGGUGUGUUUCGCGCAAUUUAAAUUCAACCACCAACCAAGACGAGAGCAGAAGAGGACUGCUCCAGACACAAACACACAAGAGAGAGUACCACAGAUUGUGGAUCACUGAACCUUCUAAUGAUAGGCCGUAUUAUAAAGCGCACCACCCGAUCCCGCCACUUUCCCGGCAUAAUCCUCCGGGCCCUCUGGCCUCAAACCGUACAGAACACAUUUCGUGGAUAUGCAAAUAAUCUGCCCUCUCUCCUCUCCACAUCCCUUGAGGGGUUCGAAAUUGAAUUGGAUCCAUCCAUGCUUUCUUUUACUCCUUUUUUUCUGGAUGAAGCGCGAGAUUGAAGGCAAGAUUCAUUCCUCACUGCCGUAAAGAUACCUAGAACGUAAAGACAUAGCUCCAAAUUGGUUUCAGCUCUAUUAGGUUGGGCACUCCCGAGGGAGACGAUGUGCGGAUGUGUGUGUGUGUGGGUCUAUAUCCGUUGAUUACCGUAAUCAGUCGAAGAAAGUAAAUUAUGAAGCAAAGUGGCACUUCAGGUGACAUUCCAAAGAGGCAAAGAGAGGAAGAAAAGGAGGAGUAUUCCAAGGCACACUUUGGUAAUCAUUUUCCUUACAUUUCCUUCUGAGGGUACUUUCUGCUUGGUCGUUUUUUUUUUUGUUGCUUACUCAGUGGAUGUCAAGUAAUGCAAGUGUGCCAUGCCUUGCAGGAAAUCCUGUGAUGUAAGAUUGAUUGAUUUUUCGCUUCGCUAUCACCCCUAUAACAGUGUCGCUUUGUCUUUGUGGAAGUAAGUGGGUUGAAUUAAUUCUGUUUUGAGCUCAAAUGAUGAGCAUUGCCAAUGCUCUCGUUGCAGGUUAUCUGAUGUUCCCAUAACUCCUUGCAGAAGAUUGCGCUUUUAGUUUGCAUUGUCUUGUCAUGCUUCCCAGAAAAUGGUUCUUGCCUACCAUCGCAUAAAGGUUUAUCUCUUCAUCUUCCCUCCGACUUGGUGAUUGCAGUGAAAACAAGCAUCUUAAACCAAUCGGAACCUUUGGCCUAUCAAUCGAAAAGAAAUACUUUAAUCAAACCAAUUGCCUCAGAGAGAGAGAGAGAGAGAGUGAGAUGCUUUUACCAUCGGUUUCGUUUGAUCAAAAAACCUCAUCGGCCGGUCGGCUGGAAAUGAAUUGCUGUGAAGAUUUGUAAACACAAUUGUGCACAAGAGCCGAGAAAACGGACCACCCCACCAAGGGGGGAAAACCAUUCAAUGGUGAAGGAGAAAACAACCAACCCAAGAAAAUAAAUCCGAGAAGAAGGGAAAGGUCUCUCAGACGACAACGACGACGACGGCGUUAUUGAGCUGUAAAUCUUCGUUUUGUCAUGUGCCCGUCCAAACCAAACAUUGCGAAACGGAUGGGCCUUUUAUCGAUUGAUCCCUGGACCGGACUGCCAGCCUCCAGCUAUUGUGUGUGUGUGUAGUCCCGUACAUACACGUUUCCCAUGCCCUUUUUAGCCUGUAUCCGGAUGCGGGGAGGGGAAAGGAGAAGACGACGUCAUCCAGGCGAGUAAACCGAGAAUUACAAGGCCGACCGAUGCUAUGCUCCGCUGAACACUUUUGGCACCUUUUGCCUUUGAUGGGCCGGCACUGGGUCGAGACACACACAUCCACCGACCACCAUACAGGACAUCUGGAGUGGGGGGUAAAGGUUGUACUCAAUACACAGCACUAGCAGCGUUGUUGUCCAUCCCUCGGGUUCUCUGGUAAUACGUUGCGCUACUGGAACUGCCACUACGCGAGUCCCUUACCCGGAAGCUGUGCCUGCUAUCGCCAUUGUAUCGUCACUCACGCAAAACGGCCCUCACAAUGUUCUUCAGCGUCGAUACACCACGGCGAGCGGGGGCUCGUGACUGACGCCCCAGGUCGUCAUCCGGACGGGAUCCUAGGUCCAGGAUGUGGAUCAAACUUCACUGCAAUAGCAAAAGGGCGCGCGAUGCGCGACAGACGAAUUCUUCACCAACCUUCAUAGUCAUAGAAGUGGUUGGAGGGGGGCAACCCCUGAGGGAGCAGCCCUUACCACACGUCGUGUUUAUUCGAUGCCGCCCUCAGGAUGAAACGCGUUGACAACGAGCGGGACAAAUGUGUAUGACCCUACCGUGGUGUGGGGUAAGGCCCGAGCUCAAGCUCGAGCUCUCGUGAGCUUGACAGCUUGCAAGUUGCCGGCAGCAGCGGCAUGGUUGUAGUAAAACACAUCGCUCGAACGCGCUCGGUUGACACUUUCAGGAAUCCAGCUUUACGACGAUGUGUGUUGCGACUAGUUUGAGAGCAGAGGGAGGGAGAGAUAGAGAGAGAGAAAAAAGGAUAUUGGGCCCGAUUCACGUGCCGCAGAAGAUUCAUCUCGAAUCGAAUUACAUGAAUGCUUCACAUAGAAGAAAGACAAAAUACGACACACCGAACUCUCUCCACCACCUGCAGGGACGAUCUUUCAGCAACAUCCUUCUCUUGAACCAGUUGGAACAGUCUUGCUGAUUUUGGCUCUCUUUCUUUUUCAAAAGCGACAAAACGAACACCGGAAAACAACAACGGACCACAAACGGAUGCCACCGUUGCACACGUGUACAGUUUGAGUUAGUUGAUAAGCUUUUAAAUUGAGAUAGGACAGGAAGGGGGGUACUUCCAGCAGACAGGAAAUAGAUAGGGUUAAGGGGCUUGCCCGGCUGCUCGCCUUAGCGUACAACAGGCCCGUUCUCCUCUCCUUUAGUAGGUAUUCUUCGUUCCCUUUGUUCUGCUUUUGCUUUCCCUCUCAUUGCUGCAGCUUUUAUUUUGUACGAGUUUUUACGUUUUUACUAUUACUAGCCCUCAAAAUACAUUAAUUAAGUGAUCUGCGUGUCGGCGAAACAAUACUGAGCCGCUUGUAUGUAAUCCGUGCCGGAGAUAUCGUGUAAGUGUUAGCGCAGCGUACCAAAGAUUUUUAUACGCAAAAACGGACGACAUUCGUUACGCGCGCGUGCGCAAACGCGCGUUUGCUUUGCGCGAAUAGACGAUUGAAUUGUUUUCUCAAAACAGAGCAUACAAAGCUCUACACUAAACCCCACUACUAAACCCGCUUUAGAUAGCAAAGGGGGUUUUUAAACGUUUAUUUACUCUAUAAUAUUCUCACAUUGCUUAGGCUACCCAUCUAACAACGCGCAAUAGACACUUUUGUUUCAUUUAUUUUUAAUUCAGGAAAUUCAGGUGUUUGUCGUAAUUUAAUAACGUAGAGACACAACACACAACAUUCCCGACGCCAAUUAGCUGCAAUAGAAAGCUGUGUAAAUCACAUCACAUCCUUAUACCAUUUUGCUUUUAAGAAUAACAUACACAUCCACACAGUGCAAUAGACAGAGAGAGAGAGAGAGGGAGAGCGCGAGAGACACAUACACACAUACAGUAGUGAAGAAACAGAAUCAACAAUGCAACAACAAUGCAACAAUACAACAAAAUCAAUCAUAUCACCAAAUAAAAUAAGAAAUAGAAAAGAGAAAGAGAGAGGGAGAAAGAAACGCAAGUAAUAGUAAACAAAAACACAAUAACAUACACACAAAAUACUCCCUUAGGGCCAGUCAGUGCACAAUAGAAAAUAAGUGAAACAACAAGACUCAGAGAGAAAGAGAGAGAGAGAGAGACAGGGUGGCAGUUUUCCCCAGUAGCAGCAGCAGCAGCAGCAGCAGCAACAGAAGGUGUAAAGAGAUUGUGAGGAAGAAGUGUUGUUUGUUUGAACAUUAAUUUCGUUAGCGGCGGGCCCCCAACCAUUUCGAUUGCUGCUGCGGUCCUGUUUUUUCCCUUCUUCCCUUCCUUCCUUCUUUUUUUACAAGGUUGAUUACAAAUACACCCACCGCUCGCUCAGUGACUUUUGUAAAGGUAAAAGGUAAUAUGGGAGCACACCCCACACACACAGAAAACUAAGCUUCAGUAGGCUUUGGGGCAUUUGGGCCGCCUUUCCAUCAAAAUCCCGCCGAAACCACUGCACAAACCUUUUUCUCGUAGCGCAGAAACAGAUGAGAGAGAACAUGAGAGAGAAUGAGAGAGAUUCAUCCCCUUCUCAUCGAACUGUACUGUGCAUUUUAAGCUUUUGUGGUGAAUGAGGUUAAUUUAGUUACGCUUUUGCGGGUUCGAGCUCUCCGUGGAGCCCUUCGUUCGUGCUGUUCUUUUUUUAUCCCCAUCGUCCUCUUUCUCUCUCUCUCUCGCUCUCCCCCCGUUUCGAAGGGAUAUCGUUCCUUAAUAAGGGCACCGCGAGGGCA